AUUUUUUUUGCAUACCUGAGUAACUAUCCAAUAUUAUUAUAAUUAAAUAGUGGAUGUGUUUUGUUUUGCCAAAAUUGUUUUUACAGAACUAUUUUAUGCGUAUCUGCAGAGGCAGAGAGGCUUAUUAUUAUUAUUAUUAUUUCAGAAGGGGGUGGAGGGGAAGAGAUUUGUAUGGAAUUCUCGUUUGUCAUCGCACAGCAGUAGCUCUUACAAGUUAUACAUACGUAGGAUACUGGUUUUCUUCCUAGAAGUCUUAUUUCCACUGUCCGAUGCAGACAAACACCACCGUCGUUCCCGCCUCCCGCAACCGCAGAAGCAAGACCAACAACAACUCCUCUGUUUUCCGCGACUAAAAUACACUAUAACUGCACAACGACGAGUCGUUAUUUCUAUAAAUAACCGCAUUUGCAUACAUUUAUGUUGCACACGUUUCCUCUUCACUUCCCCCACUCGCUGCCGGUUACGCCAGUUUAAUAUAUGCAUUCCAAACAUGCGUAUUACCGAUAUAAGUGCGCGUCAACAAUAUUCGCGUACCACCUAAUUCCAUUAAAACGCAUUCGAAGAGUUCACAGAAUGAUUUCAUUGGUAGAAAGUGACAUUGUGCAUUCGUGUAUUUUUGUAUUUAUUGAAAAUAAUUAUACAAAAUUCUUCAAUCGAAACUAAAGUACCUAUAAAAAAAAAUUAAAAUGAGGAAAACAAUAUGACAAGAGAAUAAUACGAGUUGUUUGAAAUGUAUGCAAAAUUGCAAAUAGUCAAUAAAAUUGAACAUCUAAGCAAAAAAUGUAAUGGUAAAGCUUAACUCAUCAUAGAAGAACUUGGAAGUUGGAAUUGAAGGUACGAUUGUGGAAGUGACAUAGAGUGACUGAAAAAGCACACAUAAGUUUAUCACGUAUAUACCUAGUACGUCCCACAGACGCAAGAUGUCAAAACGGUCUAACCAGAACUACAGUCUCCAGUCUAUAUAAUAUUACCUAUAUAUUUUGUUUCCAUCUCAGAGCGGGUCUCGUGGACCGUGGUGACGACCGCAUGGCGCGGACCAUAAUAUGACACGAGAUGCACCAACGACCGACGUCACGGAGCACGAUGACGACUGAAUAAUAAUAAUAUAAUAUGCGGCGCUAUAGUGCUAUACUGAUUAUACUGACUUGCCAAAUGAUACGGCCAUGAACCGUAUGUUGGCGGCAAUAAUUGCAGUGUCUAAUUUUAAUAGUUAUUUUUCCAAGUCCGAAGCUGAGCAAAUGAUUUAUAAAGGUUGAUAAAUUAUACAUUUUAAAUGUAAAUUGUUUUAGUUAAUUUUGUGUGUAUAGUGUAGGUCCAAUAUAACAUAAUAUUAUGUAGUUUAAUGUAGCGAAUAGAUCGAAAGAAAAACUUCUGGUAGUAUUCAAUAGAAGUAUGUAAUAUAAUUAAUUUAUUGUAUAACUAUAGUCUAUACAAUCAAUGGAGUGGCGAAAGGGGUAAUCAAGAGGUGACCGCGUUUGUGUUUUUGAUAGUCAAUAGGUGAAAUCGUCGGUCAGUGGGUGGGUAGGUAAUGGUCACUCCCUAAUAGGUGAUGAUUUAGUAUAAAUUAGUAACUAUAGUUCCUAUUUUAGUAAUAAACUAAUAACAACGCCACGUGGUUACAAAUGACAUUGUGAGUGACACACUAUCACACAUCAUUACGGUGAAUGACUCUAUCUGGUUAUUGUGACUGAAGGGUAUAGGUGAAAUAUUAAACUAGCCUCCGAGAAAUGUCAAGUUCACCACGUCACUACCUACAAUUAUUGGUUUUAUAAUAAUUACCAGGGUAGAAAUAAUGUGCAUCUGCAGUAUAAUAUAUUAUUAAUAUUUAAUAGGCGUUGUAACUAUAGGUAGUUGGUGUCUAUAUGGUUGUGGAUAAUCAUUUUGAUUAUGGACUAGUGCCAAAGAUGAUCCAGGUACUUGUGUAUUACCCACUAUAAAUAAAUUAACAUUCCUACAUAUGUUAAUAAAAAAUAUUAUGUAAUAGAUAUUUUAUGGUACAAAAGCAUAAUGCUCAUUAUGAACAUUAAUGCAUUAUUAAAAAAAUACCAAAUCAAUACCUAACAUCAUGUUUUAAAAUAGUGCUUAAUUGCCAAUACAAGUAUAGGUACAACUAUUUGAAGUAUAAACUAUAUAAUCACUAUAUUUAUAAUAUAAUUUUAAAAGGACGUCGUACCCGUAUUUGUUUUAUACUUUUAUCCGUCUUACAUACGUACAACAUGGCAAAUUUUCGUUCACCAGUUUGAAGUUUCAAUAGUGUACCGUUAGUUUUGAUUAAAAUUUUCGUUCACCAGUUCAGUACCUAGUGUCCUGCUAGUUUUGAUAUUAGAGUGAAUUUCCUAUUCUAAAAUUUAAAGGUAAGAUUUAUUAUCUAGGCGUAGAUUUAUUAUCCACGUAGGCUUUUAUUGAUAUUAUUAAUUUUAAGUAAGUUAUGACAUUUUUGAAACUGUAUAUUUUAAAAUGAUCCUAGAUAAUAAUCUAACCUUAACAUUUUAUAAUAGGUUGAACUAAAUAAUUUUAAAUUUAUCUGAUUAUCGUGUAACUUAAUAUAAGUAGGCACAAUAGAACCUUAUGAUUUAUGAGUUAUGAUAAAUCAUAAAUGUAAGCCGAUAGUCUAUUCGACAUUUCGACCCCAUGGCAUAUAAUAUAGAUAAAGGUAUAUAAAGGAUACCCUGAUAAAUCAUAAAGUACCAUAAGUAGGUAAAUAAUAAGUAUUUUAGUGUUUUUAUUAAUAACCAAUAAGUAAUAAACACUGGC
rnacentral:lncRNA from 1 species